rnacentral:rRNA from 1 species
UUAAAACGUAAAUUUAUUAGCUUAAUUAGUAUUAGUUAUGUUCUUCAAAUUUAAAGAUUUUGGCGGUAUUUUAGUCUAUUCAGAGGAACCUGUUCUGUAAUUGAUAUUCCACGAUUAACUUAACUUAUUUUAUUAAUUUGUAUACCGUCGUUAUUAGAUGAUUUUAUAAGAAAAUUAAUUUUUUAGAUUUUUUAUAAAAAAAUAUAUCAGAUCAAGGUGCAGUUUAUAUAUAAGAAGAAAUGGGUUACAAUAAAUUUAUUUAAACGGAUUUUUAUAUAAAAUUAUAAAUUAAAGGUGGAUUUGAUAGUAAUAAAAUUAAUUUAAAUUUUAUGAUUAUAGCUCUAAAAUAUGU